AUUGAACGCUGGCGGUAUGCCUAACACAUGCAAGUCGAACGGCAGCACAGUAAGAGCUUGCUCUUACGGGUGGCGAGUGGCGGACGGGUGAGGAAUACAUCGGAAUCUACUUUUUCGUGGGGGAUAACGUAGGGAAACUUACGCUAAUACCGCAUACGACCUACGGGUGAAAGCAGGGGAUCUUCGGACCUUGCGCGAUUGAAUGAGCCGAUGUCGGAUUAGCUAGUUGGCGGGGUAAAGGCCCACCAAGGCGACGAUCCGUAGCUGGUCUGAGAGGAUGAUCAGCCACACCGGAACUGAGACACGGUCCAGACUCCUACGGGAGGCAGCAGUGGGGAAUAUUGGACAAUGGGCGAAAGCCUGAUCCAGCCAUGCCGCGUGGGUGAAGAAGGCCUUCGGGUUGUAAAGCCCUUUUGUUGGGAAAGAAAAGCAGCAGGUUAAUACCCCGCUGUUCUGACGGUACCCAAAGAAUAAGCACCGGCUAACUUCGUG
rnacentral:rRNA from 1 species